CCUACGGGAGGCAGCAGUGGGGAAUUUUGGACAAUGGGCGAAAGCCUGAUCCAGCAAUGCCGCGUGAGUGAAGAAGGCCUUCGGGUUGUAAAGCUCUUUUGUCAGGGAAGAAACGGUGAGGGCUAAUAUCCCUUGCUAAUGACGGUACCUGAAGAAUAAGCACCGGCUAACUACGUGCCAGCAGCCGCGGUAAUACGUAGGGUGCAAGCGUUAAUCGGAAUUACUGGGCGUAAAGCGUGCGCAGGCGGUUUUGUAAGUCUGUCGUGAAAUCCCCGGGCUCAACCUGGGAAUUGCGAUGGAGACUGCAAGGCUAGAAUCUGGCAGAGGGGGGUAGAAUUCCACGUGUAGCAGUGAAAUGCGUAGAGAUGUGGAGGAACACCGAUGGCGAAGGCAGCCCCCUGGGUCAAGAUUGACGCUCAUGCACGAAAGCGUGGGGAGCAAACAGGAUUAGAUACCCUGGUAGUCCACGCCCUAAACGAUGUCUACUAGUUGUCGGGUUUUAAUUAACUUGGUAACGCAGCUAACGCGUGAAGUAGACCGCCUGGGGAUACGGUCGCAAGNUUAAAACUCAAAGGAUUGACGG
rnacentral:rRNA from 1 species